GCAAUCAUUGGCCUAGAUGGAAUUACUGCAGAGAUAAUGAAUCACCAGAAGACACAGCAAACGUGGGCCAAUGAACCAGCAGGAAUCCAUGCCUACCAUACAUAAAGGAAUAGACGCAAAGAGGAACAUCCGACUUUACAUUGGCUCCUCCUAGAAAAAGAGAAGUCAGGCAGGUGCAUUUCUCCAGUUUCAAAGAAAUGAAAGACAACAAACUUGAAGAAGAAAUGUAAAACAUCAAAGAAAGAGCAAUAACUCAGGAAAGCUAUGGGCCUUUCUGUUUAAAAAUCACUAAGUCAAAUGUUCUCUCUGAUUAUGAUGUUCUUGCUUUCUGGCUGACUUAUUCUCUCCUCCCCACAAUGACUGUUCUCUGGAUCCACAAACACUUUUAU
rnacentral:lncRNA from 1 species